rnacentral:rRNA from 1 species
CAACGCGACCCCAGGUCAGGCGGGGCUACCCNCUGAGUUUAAGCA